UUAGUGCUGGUAUGAUCGCA
rnacentral:snRNA from 1 species